CACUCUGGUGGCCUAGUGGUUAGAGUGUCUGCCUAUAAUGCGGAAGGUCAUGGGUUCGAUCCCGAGCCAAGUCA